UACGGAGGGUGCGAGCGUUGUCCGGAAUCACUGGGCGUAAAAGGAGCGUAGGCGGGUUCUUAAGUAAGGUGUUUAAUCCCGGGGCCCAACCCCGGACCGGCACUUUAAACUGGGAAUCUUGAAUAGUGGAGAGGUCGGUGGAAUUGGGGGUGUAGCGGUGGAAUGCGUAGAGAUCCCCAAGAACACCAGUUGCGAAGGCGGCCGACUGGACACAUAUUGACGCUGAGGCUCGAAAGCAUGGGGAGCAAACGGGG
rnacentral:rRNA from 1 species